AUGGCAUCUGUGCAUGAAGAUUGAGGACGACGAUUACAAAUCCAUCUCUAAACAAAACAGUAUAAGGAUAUUUUAUAAUUUAUCCAAUAUAGAUAGAGUUUACAUUAUAGAUUUACAGGAAUACUGAACUACUCCACUUCAGUUCUUUGAGAGAUGGACUAGAGGAGUAAGACUAAAGAUUCUCUCACCCUUAGCAUUAGCAUCUGAGGGCGGCACGGUAAAGUCAGGCUUAAAAGGACUCUGACCACAAUUCCUUUAUCACGUCACGCUUUGCCUUGUGCAGACAACCAGGAAGCACUGACGCAGCUAUGAAAUGUGACAUUUUAUUCCUGGUGUUGAGUGCUAUGUGGCAAUCAUCUUGCUUACUUGCUGACACCACUACAGUAAAUGAAACAGCAUCCAUGUCUAGCACUAACCAAACAUCCCCAGUUGUUUCCAUGGACAAUGUGACUGUGAGUAUAGACAUAUCUAGCUCUUCUCAGACAGAAGCUAUGUCUGAAACGUCAA